GCCUAACACAUGCAAGUCGAGGGCAGGGAGGGGCAACUCUUCCUGACCGGCGAACGGGUGCGUAACACGUGAGCGAUCUACCCUGGUGUGGGGGAUAGCCGGCCCAACGGCCGGGUAAUACCGCAUACGCUCGUCUGACCGCAUGGCCGGACGAACAAAGCCAUGGGGUAACUCAUGGCGCAUUGGGAGGAGCUCGCGGCCUAUCAGCUUGUUGGCGAGGUAAUGGCUCACCAAGGCGACGACGGGUAGCUGGUCUGAGAGGAUGGCCAGCCACAUUGGGACUGAGAGACGGCCCAGACUCCUACGGGAGGCAGCAGUGAGGAAUCUUGCGCAAUGGGCGAAAGCCUGACGCAGCGACGCCGCGUGCGGGAGGACGGCCUUCGGGUCGUAAACCGCUGUUGCCCGGGGCGAAUGCCCCUUUCGAGGGGAGUGACGGUACCGGGUGAGGAAGCACCGGCUAACUCCGUGCCAGCAGCCGCGGUAAUACGGAGGGUGCGAGCGUUGUCCGGAAUCACUGGGCGUAAAGGGCGCGUAGGCGGCGCGACAAGGCGGCGGUGAAAGUCCGGGGCUCAACCCCGGAUCGGCCGUGGCGACUGUCGCGCUGGAGCACAGUAGAGGCGGGUGGAAUUCCGGGUGUAGCGGUGGAAUGCGUAGAGAUCCGGAAGAACACCGGUGGCGAAGGCGGCCCGCUGGGCUGUGGCUGACGCUGAGGCGCGACAGCGUGGGGAGCAAACAGGAUUAGAUACCCUGGUAGUCCACGCCGUAAACGAUGGGCACUAGGUGCUUGGGGGAGCGACCCCCUGGGUGCCGGCGCUAACGCAUUAAGUGCCCCGCCUGGGGAGUACGGCCGCAAGGCUGAAACUCAAAUGAAUUGACGG
rnacentral:rRNA from 1 species